AAGGAGACAUGUUAUACCUUACUCUCAGUUCUGUUCUGAACUUAAAACUGCUCUUAAAAAAAGUGAAAUUUCUUUUUUUUUUUUUUUAAAGGAGACAUUCAAGGUGCUAUGGAAGUGUAUGACUUGGGGACCUGACCUAACCGGGAUGCUCAGUAAAGCCAUUCCUGAAAAUGUGACUUUUAAACUGAGACCUGAAUGACUGGGGAUGGGGGAAGCAAACAGAUAGAAUGAACAGCAGGGACAAAAGACCUCAGGAAAGAAAAAAGCUGGACCUUCCAGCUAGUGUGGCUGGAAUCUAGUGUGUGAGGAGGGUGUAGCAUGAAGACUAGAGAGGUCGGAAAGGGCCACAUUUUACAGGACCACAGAGGCCAGAGAAGGCUUGGGUCUUUAUGUUGAGACCAAUGAGAAGACCUCUGCCAAAUUUAAGCAAAUGAAACAUCAGAUUUACAUCUUUGAAUGCUGGUUCUGGUUGCUAUGGAAAAUGGAUUGGAAGGGUGGGGGCAGCAGUGGACAUAGGCAGCCCAGUUAGGAAGCCUUUGCAGCAGUCCAUGCUAAAGAUAAUGGUAUCCUGCAGUGGUAGCAGUGGAGGGUAGAUGGGUUUGGGAGAUAUUUAGGAGCGAGUGCUGUUAGGCCUUGGUGAUUGAUUGUGAAAGGAAGAGAAGAUAAUGGGGAUGACUAAGCUUUUUGAUGAAACAGAGUAGAUGACGGUGAUGUUUGUGAAAAGAAGAGGAGAAUUAGUUUGGGAGGGAAAAUCAAGCUCAGUUUGGACAUGUAUUUGGCCGUUAAACAAUGGCGGGGUUAGUGGUACCAACCCUUCACCCAGCCGAAAAUCAGAACUGCCAUCUCUACCUCAAAAACAAAGGAAUUGAUACAUGACUCACCCAAGGGCAGGAAGCUGAAAAAGUUUGGAUAGAAUCAGGACUCAGACCCUCUUUCUUUUGAUGCCACAUAUUCUCUAUUUUAAUCUCUACUCGAACUUUUCCCCAUACUUAGUUAAUUUGAUGAUAUGUAAAAGGAAAAUAUAGAUGCUAUAUUUAUUGAAAAAAAUUCACGUAUACCUGGACCUGUGUAGUUCAAACCUGUGUUAUUCAAGGGUCAGCUGUACUAAGUUUGAGAUGCUGUUGUAUAUCCAAGUGAGCAGAAAAAUAUUAGUGAACAUUCAUUAAAUACUCACUAUAUUCUAAGCACUUUUGAAGCUCAGAAGAGAGAUCUUAGCUGGAUUAGAAGACGAUUGGAAUAUUGGAUGGUAUUUGAAGCCAUUGGAGGGGAUGAGAUUGUCUUGAGCAAAUUGCUGAACAGAGAAAAGCGCCUAAACUGAGCCCUCAGAAACUCGAACAUUUAAAGACCAGGUAGUGGAGGAGGAGUUGGCAAAGGAAAUUGAGGAGAUCAAGGAACAGCCUAAAAGAAAGGAGACAGAUCAAGACCGGGUGGUUAACGAUGUCAGAAGCAGCUGAGAAGUAGAGCAAGACAAGGAAUGAAAAUUGUCUAUUGGAUUUAACAAUAGACAACCAGUUCCUAGUGUGGUUGUAACUUUUAUCAGAUCUCCUGAUGUCCUGUCAGGGAUACCUGGUCCUAGAACAUCCAGUAUACCAAUUGAAGGUACUGGUCACUCAAACCGACCUUUUUUGUGAAAUUCUGACAGGUUUUUAAGAAAAUAAAGGUGACAGAGAUAAAAUAUAAACCUUAGGUUUAUUAUCUACUCUAACCUUUUUUUUUUUU